CAGCAGUCGCCGCGGUAAGACAGAGGAUGCAAGCGUUAUCCGGAAUGAUUGGGCGUAAAGCGUGCGUAGGCGGCUUCUUAAGUCGGAUGUGAAAUCCCUGAGCUUAACUUAGGAAUUGCAUUCGAUACUGGGAAGCUAGAGUAUGGGAGAGGAUGGUAGAAUUCCAGGUGUAGCGGUGAAAUGCGUAGAGAUCUGGAGGAAUACCGAUGGCGAAGGCAGCCAUCUGGCCUAAUACUGACGCUGAGGUACGAAAGCAUGGGGAGCAAACAGGAUUAGAUACCCCCGUAGUCCCUGUCUCUUAUAC
rnacentral:rRNA from 1 species